UACGUAGGGGGCUAGCGUUGUCCGGAAUCAUUGGGCGUAAAGAGCGUGUAGGCGGCCCGGUAAGUCCGCUGUAAAAGUCAAAGGCUCAACCUUUGAAUGUCAGUGGAUACUGUCGGGCUCGAGUACGGAAGAGGCGAGUGGAAUUCCUGGUGUAGCGGUGAAAUGCGCAGAUAUCAGGAGGAACACCAAUUGCGAAGGCGGCCCCCUGGACCGGUACUGACGCUGAGGCGCGAAAGCGUGGGUAGCAAACGGG
rnacentral:rRNA from 1 species